GACGAACGCUGGCGGCGUGCUUAACACAUGCAAGUCGAACGGGCCCGCCCCUGUUUUUGGGGGUGGGUUGAGUGGCGAACGGGUGAGUAUCACGUGAGUAACCUGCCCCCUGCUCCUGGAUAACUGCUUGAAAGGGCGGCUAAUACGGGGUGUGCCGGCUGGUCCGCAUGGGCCUGGUCGGGAUAGUUUCAUCUUCGGGUGUUUCGGUGGGGGAUGGGCUCGCGGCCUAUCAGCUUGUUGGUGGGGUGAUGGCCCACCAAGGCGGUGACGGGUAGCCGGCCUGAGAGGGUGGGCGGCCACACUGGGACUGAGACACGGCCCAGACUCCUGCGGGAGGCAGCAGUGGGGGGUAGUGCACAAUGGGCGGAAGCCUGAUGCAGCGACGGCGCGUGAGGGAUGGAGGCCUUCGGGUGGUGAACCUCUUUCUCCGGUGGUGAAGGCCCUGUCCGUUGCGGCGGGGUUGACGGUAGCCGGGUAUGAAGCGCCGGCUAACUACGUG
rnacentral:rRNA from 1 species